UUUUCUUCUUCUUCUCUUCUUUUUUUCCUUUUUGUUGGGUGCUGGUCUGGAGAAGGUUUAAAAAAAAACCCUAACUUAUAUAUAUCUAGCGCCUUGACUCAUUGGGGCGCGUCUUGGUGCUCCUCGGUGCGCCUCUAUGAGGUGGUGCACCUUGACUGUCUCGAGGCGCCUGGAGCUAUGCCUAGUGCGCCUAAUGCGCCUUGCGCCUGAGGCAUGCCUUUGAUAAUAGUGUCAUUAGACUCGUUCUUAUAGAAGAUUGAACUUAUCGCAGUUACAUCCUAUGAUAAUUUCAAUUUUCUCAAAAAAUUCUUGAUAUGUGUGUUGAUCAAACAUAAAGAUACUGAAGCUUAUACCCCACAACCAUUUGUAGGUUUAUCCUGAACUGAAUGUGAUCGUUGUAUGAUGUAAUAUGGUGAAGGGGACUUCUUAGAUGCUAGUGGCUCUAAAAUUGUUGCUGAGCUAAAAAUGAAAAAGAAAAAUUAAAAACAAAGAGAUUGCAGCCCAUAAAGUUUAUAAUUUUAGUAUUUAGGCCUAAUGCCUUCCCAUUUCUAAUUAUCUUCAUAAUAGUAUGGAAAAUUGGAAAUACAGAUAUGUCAACUCAUUUUCUCUCCUUUUAUGUCAUGUUAUUUGGUCUGAUACUUUAUCGUUGACCGGCUUAUUAUGUUUGAUUGGUCUCUAUUCAAAUGGCAGGAGUUACAAGACA
rnacentral:misc_RNA from 1 species